rnacentral:lncRNA from 1 species
AGAACUUGGAGCUUUUCAAGUCCCACAUCACUUGAAACUCUUCACUAAACUCCUUCCAAAAGCUAUAUAAGUAAGCCUAGGGGUUCUUCUUGUACACACCUUUGCAUUGAAUGAAAUUUGAGUUGAAUUGCAAUCUUGCAUUCUUCUUUGAGAUAGAAUUCUGUCUCUAAAGUCCCAAAUUUGGGNAGGCCUUAUCUUGCUCAAGCAAGUGGCGGUCCUCUUCAUGAUGCUUAUCUUGGAAGCUUGUUCAAGUGGCGCAUCUUCAUUUCCUAAGUUUCCCUUCUCUAAUCUUUUCCAAUUUUAAUUUCUUUUCCAUUCUUUUAAAUGUCAUUUAGAAUAUUCUCUCUAGGUAUGCACUUCC